AAAAAAAAAAAAAACUCAACCCGACCUAACCCGACCCGACCCACCCGAAUUGACAUCCCUAUCCACAGCUCGUCCCUAACUCCUUUCGCCUUCUAUGCGGUGUUGUCGUGCUGUUCCGGCUGCACGACAUCCCUUUGACUCUGCAAGUCUUUCAUUACUUUUACUAUCCCAAGCAGUCCGAGCUGAGGACUUAUCUUUUUCAGUCUCGGAUCGGUCUGGUAUUUUUUGAUAAGAUGCCCACCUCAAAUAAAGGAGAUUCUUCUUCUUGAAACUCCUCGAGCGGCCCAGCUUUCGGACCCAAUGGUAGGUCGUACUACCACCUAAACUGGACCUGAAGAAGUAUAAAAGCCGGCCGGAUUAUCUUCACGCCGCGAACAUGCUAGCCGGUCAGAAAUAUGUUAUACACAAGCUGCUGCACGAGGGCGUCAUGUAUAUCUUCGGGUUGAGUCUGAUUCGCACGAAGCUCUCGAGCUGCUUAGGUAUGAGAUUUCUUAGCACUCCUCCCUUGAGACUAACUGAUUUGCUUUCUCUCUCUUGCAGCAAAAAUCAUGAUGCAAGUGCGCGUGGCCGGCCUGAGUCGCCUGACGAAGUGGCGGUUGCGAAGGAAAUGGCGAGCCUCGGCCUGGCGUCGGUCGACUCUCAUGAGGGCACGUAAGCCGAGAGUGGGGAGACUCGUACCGUCAUUUAGACGGCCAACGUUGAAGAAGUUGUCGCGCUGCCUCCAACACUUGAAGCACAGCUUGCCGCUUAGACCGAGGGCAUCGAGUCUUCUAAUGAGGGGUUGCCACUCAUCAAGCGCAAGAGGCGCCGUACGAAAAAUAUCUCUCGAUCCGCCACCUCGGCCGCGGGUGCCAUCGAGGACACUUUUCCUGAGGCUGUGGCUGUCCCAACAGUCAAUUCCACUUCGUUCGAUCGGACUUCAUCUCUAGCCGAUCUGCCGGCGGAGCCUAUUCCUGCGCAACCGAUCGCGUCUCUAGCCCCGUCCUGAACCCUACGGAGGCCUCGGGUGUCCAGGAUCGACCCGGCGCCGAUUGUUGCUCGCUCCGGUCCGGUGGUCUCCUCCUUGUCAGACCCAAGCGGUCGGAGAUUGGUGACGACGACCAUCAACCUUUCGUCGGAGGACUAUCUCAAGUAGUGCGUCCGUUCGACCGUCCCCGAACACAUAAUCAUAAUUCGCGGGCCGCUUACCGGUGUUUGGGAGGAAGCGCGAGCCCGAGCGGCAACGGUAUCGCCAGGAGCGCUCGGGAACAACCAUCUUUAGAUGGCCUGGGUAUUGGGUGGAGAGCGUGGCCAUGUGCCAGCGGCUCGCCCUUGUGGAGGAAGAGCUGAAGAAACUCAAAAUUUUUGGUGGCGCCUCUUCCUCCUAGGGGCCAUCGGUCGCUCAGCUGCAGGCCGAUCUGGAAAAGGCUCAACAACUCCUUGCGGUAGAGCAGCAGAAGUUGGCCGAUCAGGCUAGUAGGUUGGGCCAGAUCGAGGCACAAUUGAAGACUUACGAAAGGAAACUCGACCUGGAAUUGAAGAACCAGGAGGCUGGACGGCUCGUCCAAAAGCUCAAUGAGGCCGAGGACUAUUUGAUCGCUGAGCGGGCCUGCCGAACGGCUGGCGAGGAGUCCUUAAAUAAGAAGCUCAAGGAGGCCGAAGAUGCCCUGGAGGCCUCGCCUCCCGUUCGGCUCUGAUGGUCUACCAAAAGGAAGAGUUGAACCGGUUUGUCGUGAUGAAGCAGGAGUAUCUCCGCUCGGACCAGUUUACUGAAAAAGUAGUCCAAAGGAUUGUCCAAGCGUUCGAGUUUGCUGUUGAUGGGACCAUCCAGCAGCUCAAGGCGGGCGGUCACCUCACCGAGGCCCUGGCGGACGGCAUUAUCAGCCGUAGUCAGUUGAACGACUCCAUGCCUGAUGAUGUGUUCGAUUAUAUAGAGUGAGUUGGAGUUUUGUAAAAGUUUUUCAAGUCCUAAAUGUAAUUUUUCCGUUCAGCAGCAUCUUUUUGUGAAAUGAACGUUUUGCCCGCUCAACGGGGUUUUUCUUCGUGACUUGUUUGUUUCCAUGCUUGGUAUCGGGUGUUUUCGCUCGGCUAUAAUCACGGCUAUCCCGACGAUUUGCGGGUCGUCGAUUGGCCAUUUGUUGAAUUCAAAUAAGAUCCAUACCUUCUCCUGGGUUUAAGGUCGUCGCUCGAUCGUUGUUAGAGACCGGGGUUUAAGGUCGCUGCUCGAUCGUCGGUGGAGAUCUGGGUUUAACGUCGCCGCUCGACGAUUUGAUGAAGGCUUGAGUUUAAGGUCGUCGCUCGACCGUCGGUGGAGACCUGGGUUUAACGUCGCCGUUCGACGAUUUGAUGUAAAGUCGCCAUUCGACAUGAAUUUCGGGAAUCUUUUGAUUUCAGUCCUGCAUUCACAGGGUGUAGGGGUAUUUAAAAUACAUUGAUUACAUUGGCGCACCUCUCAUCCGGUUCGAUAUGGCUGGAGGUGGUUUGCGCUCCAUGGACAUUCGAAUCGUCGCCCGUUCCUAUCCUCCAAGUAAUAGGCGCCCGAACGGAGCUUUUCCACGAUCUUGAAGGGUCCGGCCCACGGAGCUUCCAGCUUAGUGACGUUGCCGACCGGCUUCACCUUCUUCCACACAAAGUCGUCGACCUGGAAUGACCUUGAGAUCACCCUUCGAUUGUAGGUCUGCUUCAUCCUUAGUCGGUAGGCCAUCAGCAGGGCGGCGGCUUUAGGACGUGCCUCAUCCACCAAAUCUAACUCCAGGAGCCUCCGCUCGGCGUUGUCUUUGCUGUAGUGCUGUAUCCGAUCGGACUUGACUCCGACCUCUACUGGGACGACCACUUCGCCACCGUACACCAAGUGAAAGGGGGUUGCUCGCGUUCCUUCUUUGGGGGCCGUGCGGAUCGCCCAGAGCAUGCUUUGGAGUUCGUCCACCCAGCUACCUCCCAUAUGGUCGAGUCGCGCGCGUAGGAUCCGCAAGAUCUCUCGAUUGGCGACUUCGGCUUGCCCAUUACUUUGUGGGUAUGUCACUGAGGUGAAGGUCCGCUUAAUGCCAUACCCCUCGCACCAAGUUCUAAGCCCUUGACCCACGAACUAUCUUCCAUUGUCCGAGACGAGCCGACGCGGGAUGCCGAAUCGAUAGAUGAUGUGUUGCCAGAUGAAUUUCUUGACCAUCUGUUCAGUUAUUCUGGCUGGCGGCUUGGCUUCAACCCAGUUGGAGAAAUAAUCGACCGUGAUAAGCAAGAACCUCAGUUGUCCUGUCACCAUUGGGAAUGGUCCCACGAUAUCCAUGCCCCACUGGUCGAACGGGUAAGACACCAUAGACGCCUUCAUCUCCUCGGUCGGCCGAUGCGAGAGGGUAUGAUACUUUUGGCAGGAAAGGCAGGUGGCGACUGUCCGAGCGACGUCCUCCUGGAGGGUCGGUCAAAAGUAUCCCGCGAGUAGAAUUUUCCUGGCUAAUGAGCGACCGUCCGGGUGUCCUCCGCACGAUCCUUGGUGCACCUCUUGCAAUAUAUAGUCGGCGUCCUCUGUCCCGACGCAUUUAAGCAUAGGCCUGGAGAAUGUUUUUUUUGUAGAGCUGAUCUCCGAUAAGGGUGAACCGACCGACCCUCUUCUUUAACAAAAUGGCCUCCUUCCGAUCGGAUGGUGUGGCUCCCGAUUGUAAAACUUCUAUCAGCGCCGUUCUCCAAUCAUUCGGGAAGGAGAGUCCCUCCAUCCGAUCGAUGUGAGCCACUAGAGAUACCUACUCGAUCGGCUAUGCGAUGACGAUCGGCGAGAGUGAGCUGGCCAAUUUGGCCAAUUCAUCUGCAACUUGGUUCUCCGCUCGGGGGAUCUUUUGCAUGAUGACCACCCAGAAAUCGAUCCUUAGUCUUUCGAAGGCUUCUGCAUAGAGCUGGAGUCGCGCGUUACUUAUCUCGAAUGACCCGGCUAGUUGCUGAGCGGCUAGUUGUGAAUAUGAAUGAAUUAGGACUUUGAGGGCUCCGACGUGCCGAGCGGGAUGUAGCCUGGCUAUGAGCGCUUCGUACUCGGCUUCAUUGUUGGUAGCCCCAUAAUUCAGCCGAACGGACAGCUGCAUCCGCUCUUCCUGGGGGAAAUCAGCAGUAUGCUGAUCCCGCUUCCCUGCCGAGUGGACGAUCCAUCCACAUAUAUCCUCCAGACAGCCUUUGGUUCAAGAUUUUGUACUUCCAUGACAAAAUCCGCCAAGAACUGUGCUUUGAUGGUCGUUCGGAGUUGAUACUGAAUGUCGAACUCGCUGAGUUCUAUUGUCCAUUUGAUCAGCCGUCCUGAUCCCUCUAGAUUGAGAAGGACUCUCCCCAAAGGAUUAUUGGUCAUCACAAUGAUAAUGUGCACGAGGAAAUACUGGCGGAGCCUCCGAGCGACGAGUACUAAUGCGAAAGCAAAUUUCUCGAGACCAGUGUAACGGGAUCCAACAUCUCUUAAUAUAUGACUUAGGAAAGACACUGGUUGUUCUUCGCCAUUCUGCCGGACUAAUGAGGAACCAACAACAUGUUCGGUCGAUGACAGAUAGAUUUGGAGCGGCUCAUCGGCAGUUGGCUUAGCCAGUACAGGCAACGAGUUCAGAUACAGCUUGAGUUCUUCGAAUGCCCGGUCGCACUCCUCGUCCCACUGAAAUUUGAUGGCUCGGCGCAAUAUCUUGAAAAGGGCAAGCUCCGGUUGGAUGAUUUGGAGAUGAACUGAGACAAUGCAGUUAUCCGAUCGGUGAGACGCUGAGCUUCCUUCAGGCUUCUGGGGGGCGGCAUGUCCUGUAUCGCCUUCACCAUGCUAGGGUUUGCUUCGAUUUCUCGUUCGGUAACGAUGUAGCCUAGAAAUCGUCCGUUCUUCGCAUCGAACAGACACUUGCUGGGAUUCAGCUUAAUCCCAUAUGUCCUGAGGGUCCGACAGGUCUCCGUGAUAUCUGCACAGAGGUCAGUAGCUCGGAGGGACUUGAUUAGUAUGUUGUCCACAUAUACCUCCAUGUCGCGGCACUGCAUUGGCAAGCAAGCUCGGGAAUUGAAUUUUCCCAAUGUGGCCGGCUUCCAAAAGCUUCUCGAUUUCUGCUCGGAUGAUGAGAUUUUGUUCGGCGUUGAAAUCUCUCUUUCUCUGCUUCAUCGACCGAGCGUUAGGUCGGACAUGAAGUUCGUGCUGCGCAACUCUUGGAGUGAUCCCCGAAAGCUCGUGUGUCGACCACGCGAAGACAUCGUGGUUCUGCUGGAGACACGCGAUGAGCUCGGCUUUCUGCUCGACUUCCCGAUCGGCAGCUAUGAAGGUUGUAACCUCUGCUCGGCUCCCUUCUCUUCGUAUACCAAAGUAGGGGGCUUUUCGGUUAUGACGCUUACAUCGAGCUGGGGUGUUUUUCGAGUGGACUUCGCCUCGGUCUUGAUCAUCUCGACAUAGCAACGCCGAGCGACCAACUGAUCACCCUUGACUUCUUCGACCCGGUCUUCCAUCGGAAACUUGAUCUUCUGGCAGUAGGUGGAGACUACCGCUCGGAACUCAUUGAGGGUCGGUCGGCACAAGAUGACGUAUGUGGAGGGGGCGUCCGCCGCGAUGAAAUUUGUGGUCCUCAUCCUUGUGAGUGACUCCUCUCCUAGCGAUAUGGCCAACUUCGUCUGGCCGAUCGGCAGAACUUCGUUGUCAGUAUAUCCGUACAGCGGGAUUAUCAUUGGCAACAACUUGUCCCGGUCGAUUUGGAGCUGGUCAAACGUCUUCUUGAAAAUUAUAUUCACCGAGUUGCCUGUGUCAACGAAGAUUCGGUGAAUAGUAUAGUUAGCGAUUAUCGCUCGGAUGAUGAGGACGUCGUUUUGCGGAACUUCAACUCCCUCUAGAUCUCUGGAUCCGAAGUUGAUCUCGAGCCCAUUCGUCUGCUCUCGGCUGCAGCUUACCGCGUGGAUCUCCAGUCGCCGGGCGUAUGAUUUUCUGGCUCAGUUGGAGUCUUCGUUGGUCGGACCGCCGCCGAUGAUGUUGAUUUCGCCUCACGCAGCGUUACUUCUGUUCUCCUCCUCCCUAGCGGACGGUCUGCUUCGCUCGCGUUCGGCUCGAGUGGGGUCGGCGCUUCUCCUAUGGGGCUGCUGCGGUGAUCUCCUUGCGUCCUCUCGUCGUUCGACGUUCUGAUGCACGUGUCGCUGGUUAGGAGUGGGAGACCGGCAGCGGUAACUUCUGGGCGCCGGUUGGGUGACCGAAUUGAAUCCGUGACAAUCGCGGGUGUUUUGAGUGACUGACUGGUGGAAGGAACAGAACAUCGGGGCCUAUACCUUUCUUUUUGAUUUUGGACGCUAAGAGGCCACGUGCUGAACGGCGUGUGGCCUUGCUUCUUGGUGUGGUCGUGUCCCUUCGGCUCGGGGUCCUCGUGGCGGCUGAUGGCUGAUCGGCGACCUCCGUUCGGUCGGCGCCGAUGGUUCGGAUGACGUCUCUUUUUUUCUUGCCGCUUGGGCCUCUUCCACAUUUAUGUAUUCAUUGACCUUCUUCAGCAUGUAGUCGUAGUCUCGAGAUGACUUUCGGAUGAGCGACCGGAAGAAGUCUCCGUCCACGAGCCCUUGGGUGAAUGCAUUCAUCAUGGUCUCGGACGAGACCGAUGGGAUGUCCAUGGCUCCUGAUUAAAGCGUUGGAUAUAUGCUCGGAGGGGCUCUCUGGGACCUUGCUUCAUGGAGAACAAGCUGACACUCGUUUUCUGGCAUCGUCUGCUGCCCGCAAAUUGGUGUAAGAAGGUCGUUCAGAAUUCUUUGAAGCUCCUUAUUGAUUCGUCCGACAGCCUUCUGAACCAUCGUUGAGCCGAACCGGAGAGCGUUGCGAGGAAGACUCGAUACUUUACUCCAUCUGUAUAUUGGUAGAGAGUGGCAGCGUUGUAGAAUUUUCCCAAGUGGUCGUCCGGGUCGGUUGAUUCGUUGUAUUCCCCGAUCGCCAAGGGAGCGUAAUGCCUCGAUAGCAUCUUGCAGUAUCAACUCGGAGAACUGGCGAUUGAUCCGCUCGGGACACAAAUCAGCUCGGGGCAUUUUUCCUUUCCUCGCAUCCCGAACGGGCGUUUCAUCUGAAGAAGAGCCCCCCUCCUGAUUAGUCUGAGCAAUCUCUGAAGGCGUUUGAAACAAUGUCCGAUGGAAUGGAAUAGGGGCGGGUGGAGCCUCUCCGUGAGUGCCGGUCGGCAUUUUAUUCUGCCCUCAGAUGGAGUACUGCUCCGAUCGGUCUUCAUGCGUAGCUCGGCCCCCCGAAGCUGAGGUCGCUUGCUGACCCUGCCGAUCGGCAAGCACUUUUUGCUGUUGUUGUUGCUUGACUAGCUUCGCAGUUCACGCUUGUAUGAGCGCAUUGAGCUCCUCCUGGAUGAGCGUCACAGUAUGCAAUUGUCCAGCUUCUUUCAUCUUUUCGGUCCGUAUGCAGGUGCGUUCCCACAGACGAUGCCAAAUUUAAUCCCGUCUGAGAGUUGAGGCGAUGACAACUGGAGACGUGGCACUCCUAUUGACUGCUGAUGAACUCCCGGCUAGCGGGACCUGCAGCCACAAAGCGUUAGUGUCGGGCCAGGGAGGGGUUCCCUGGCGUUGACCCUCCGACGCUCAAGUCAGACACUGGCGAUAUAGAAGAAACGAGGAAGCAAAAUGGCAGCGUAACUGUAGCUACAUUAAAGAUUAUUCAUACCUCCGACGAAGCUUGGGGCUCCUUAUCUAGGACCCCGGGAGCGCAUGCGCACGUUUCUCGAUGCGUGCAUGCUUCUCAAAGCCUUUCCUGAAAGGACAUGUCAGAAAAAGUACCUCUAACGUCAUAUCUCAAUGAUCCGAACAUAUUCUGACAAGACAGUGGAAGCUUCCGUCGUACGAUACUCUGCUUGAGCUCUGCCUGAUUAUGCUGCCGACCAUGCUGUCUGUCGGCGGCAUGGGUCUCGAGUAGGAUAUCAAUCAAUCCUGCUUUUAUUUGCUAGUGGGCCGAGCGGAUGACCGCUCGGUUACUUCCGUUGUUUGGGCCGGGCGGGGUGGUUGCUCGGCUACUUCCACUGUCUGGGUUUGCUGGGUUGUGUUUCCGCUUCGCUGGCUGUAAUCUGAUCUUUGGUUGAUUCGGAUGUCCGUCUGGUACAUGCCCAGCUGUUCGGCACAUGACUUGCCGGUUGGCGCCUACUUUGGUGAUACUGGGUCUUUGAGUGUCGGAAGCUCGGUGCGAGACCGAGUUGUUAUGACGCCGGACCAGCCAUUCCUUAGUCCGAUCGGUUGAUUAGUUCGCUCGGUCGGACGCUAGCCCGGGGACGUUGACCGUCUUGACUUUGACCUUCUACGUGACGCUGACCUCCUGCGGGUCGGGGCCCCACCGUUCCACCGGAUCAGGAAGCACUCAGAUAAAAUAUAUAAAAAUUGAGGGCAACAACAAUUUCUUCUCUCAAAUAAUAAGUUUUUUUUAUUCUUUUUAAAAAAUAUCUGAUUCAUAAAUUGAGGAAGAGGAGACUCUGCAUCUUCCGCAUAAUGGUUGGAUUAUGCAGAAGUUGAUUGACAAAGGAUGGGUCUGACAUUCCACCUUUAAUCAUUUCUAACUCUGAUAAUCCACCAAUGCUCGGAAAUCUUCCAUCGCGAGGAGAAGCUGGUCUGGAAUUGGUAGUAUGUACACCUGCAAUUGAAGGAAUUUUUAGCAUAUUACCAACAACAUUAUGACAAAUACAAAAAUGUUACCAGUUAUGCUCUAUGGGUUUAGAAUAUAGCUAUGGAAGAUAUGUUCGGAUAUUGUUACUAUAGAAGUUAUAAUGGAAGAAAUAAAUCCUAAAAAUUUUGGAAGGUGAUGGGUAGCUUCCUGUGCAAAGAGUUGAAGUUGUGUAAAUCAAAAACUCUUACCUGUAAAAGGAUUUCAAUGAAUUAUUGUAAAAUUUAGUUUUA